CAGAAAAGCUCAUGCAUACUUCCUCUGAGCUGUCCCACUGUUCUAUGGUGCUCAGAUUGACCUCAGAGAGAGUCCCCUCUCAUCAUGUGAAGCCAAAUUCUUGUCCUAGAUUUGCUAUAGUGCUAGAAGGUUCAGGAUCCAGGGUUCCUGCUUGCCCAGGCUGCUCCUCCUAGCCUCCACAGGGAUGCACAGCACCCGAGAAGCUGCCGUCUACUCACUGAGAACACUUGGUGAGUGAAUUGUGAGAAG
rnacentral:lncRNA from 1 species